AGAAAGUCAGUGGAGCAGAAUUGAGGAAAUGGAAGUCAGAAGUAGCGAGAUUGAAGAUAAAACACUUGGCAACAAUAUAGUCAAAGAAAAAUCAGAUAAAAGAAUUAAAAAAUGAAGAAACCCUAAGAAUCAUGUGGGACUCUAUUAAGAGAAAUAACCUACGAGUGACUGGAAUACAAGAACAGGGAGAGAUAACAGAAAAUACAGAGAGAAUUGUUGAAGAUUGGUUGGCAGAAAACUUCGCUGAUAUCAUGAAAGAUGAGAGGAUAUCUAUUCAAGAUGCUUAUCGAACACCAUACAAGGUAGAUCCCAAGAGAGUCACCAAGACGUAUAAUCAAAAGUGCCAAAACCAAAGAUAAAGAGAGAAUUUUAAGAGUGGCCAGGGAUAAAUGAAAAGUCACCUACAGAGGAGAGUCAAUAAGAAUAACCUUGGACUACUCAGCAGAAACUAUGCAGGCAAGAAGGCAAUGGAAUGACAUAUAUAAAGCACUGAAGGAGAAAAACUGCUAGCAAAGAAUCAUAUAUCCAGCAAAACCGUCUCUCAAAUAUGAAGGCAAAAAGAGGACACUUCCAGAUAAACAGAGGUUUAGGGAAUUUGCAAAAGCCAAACCAAAACUACAAAAAAUACUAAAGGGAAUUCUCUGGUUAGAAAAUCAAUAAUAUCAAAUAUCAACCCAACAAUAGAACACAGGACAGAGCAAGCAGAUAUCAACCCAGAUAGGAAAACCACAAAAAUAAAUCAAGAUUAAAAAAAAUCUGAAAACAGGGAAUCAGCUAUGUCAUUAUGUAAAAUAUGACAACAUUAAAACAAUGAAGAGGGAAUAAAUAGUCAUAGGUCUUUCAUACGGAGAAGAAAUAGGUUAGUUUUAAACUUUGGAAAAAAAGGGGUAACUAUUUUUUUUUUUUAUUAAGAUAACCUCAAAGGAGACUAACAAUCCUACACAUCAAAAUAAAAUACAAGAAAAACAUAAAGACUCAGCAAAAACAAAAUCAACAACAGUGAAAAAGAGGAACACACAAUUUACAAAGAAAAACUACUCAGCACAAAAAACUGAGUGAAAGAAAUAAACUGUCAACAACACACAAAAAAAGACAUCAAAAUGGCAGCACUAAACUCAUACCUAUCUAUAAUCAUGCUGAAUGUAAAUGGACUAAAUGCACCAAUAAUGAGACAGAGCUGUAGAAUGGAUUAAAAAAAACACAGUCUGUCUAUAUGCUGCCUACAAGAGACACAUCUUAGACUUAAAGACAUAAACAAACUAAAACUCAAAGGAUGGAAAAAAUAUAUCAAGCAAACAAUCAAAAAAAAGCAGUAGUGGCAAUAUUAAUUUCCAACAAAAUGGGCUUUAAAGUUAAAUCCAUCAUAAAGGAUAAGCAAGGACACUAUAUAAUGAUUAAAGGAACAAUAUACCAGGAGGAUAUAACCAUAUUAAAUAUUUAUGCACCCAAUGACAGGGCCGCAAGAUACAUAAAACAAACUCUAUCAGCAUUGAAAAGUGAGAUAGAUAGAUCCACAAUAAUAGUAGGAGACUUCAACAUACCACUUUCAGUGAAGGACAGGAUAUCCAGAAGGAAGCUCAAUAAAGACGCAGAAGAUCUAAAUGCCACAAUCAACCAACCUGACCUCAUAGACAUAUACAGAACACUCCACUCAACAGCAGCCAAGUAUACUUUCUUUUCUAAUGCACAUGGAACAUUAUCUAGAAUAGACCACAUAUUAGGCCAUAAAGCAAGCCUUAACAGAAUCCAAAAUGUCGAAAUACUACAAACCAUCUUCUCUGACCAUAAAACCAUAAAAGUAGAAGUCAAUAAAAGAAAAAUCAGGGAAGAGAAAUCAAACAUUUGGAAACUAAACAACACUUUGCUCAAAAACAAUUGGAUUAUAGAAGAAACUAAGGAUGGAAAAAAGAAAUUCGUAGAACCCAAUGAGAAUGAAAACACUUCCUAUCAGAACUUUUGGGACACAGCUAAAUUUCCUCUUGUUUAAUUAAAUAAAUCUAUCCUAUUCUUUUAUUCUAAGAUUGUAAAGGUAUGUUUCUCGUCUAUAUUUUCUUCUAGAAGUCUCAAAGUUUUGGUGGUGGCUUUUGUCUCUGUUAAUUACUGCUAUAUUCCCAAUGGGGCUGCUGAGCGGCCUAAAUGGCUAAUGCACUUGGCUACCAACGAAAAGAUUGAUAGAUUUUAAAACUUUAAACCAUCCCUAAUUCCUGGGGUAAGCCAUACUUGGUAAUAUUACUGUGUUUAUUUGCUAAUAUUUUAAUUAGAAUUUCUGCAUUCUGUAGUAGUAAAUAAGAUUGACCUAAAGUUUUCUUGGUGGUAUCUUAUACAGUCCUGGUAUCAGGAUUAUGUUGCCUUAUAGAAUGAUUGAGGAAUUUUGCCAUCACUUUCUAUUCUUUGCAAUUUUAAUAUAAUAUGGGAAUUAUCUCUUUCUUAAAUAUCUGUAAAAUUCACAUGAAAACUUUCACAGUUGUUUCAUUUUUAAAGAUAGAUCUUUGGCAUCUUGUCAGUUUUGCAAUUUUUAUUUGAGUUGGGUUUAGUUAUUUAUAGGUAAUAGGAUGUAAUAAGAUGCUAAACAUUUUCCCUGUUGUCUCAGAUUUUCAGCAGAGAUCUAAAGACCAAGAAAUAUAAGUACCAGAUCCUCUGUGCAGAACAGGCCAGGAGAUUAUGAAACCUGUUCAUGACACUUAGCUAAUCACUGACCUUGAGGGCUUAUAAGUGGAAGUGAGGAAAUUCUGCAAGAGGUCACUAGUAAGAAUUUCCCUUGUGACAAUUGUCAACAUGCCAUGUCCUUCCCAGAGAGCAGAAGGACAAGGGGGUGUUCUCCCUUCAUUUUGAACCAAAUUAAGAGCUUAACAUGUAUCCCUUGGCAUUUGGAUGACACAGAUAAGAGGCCUGCUGGAGCAAUCUGGGGUGACAGAAAAGAGAGUGCUCCACAGGAAGCAGCCUUCCAUGUCCAGAACAUCCUCAGAGAAAGUUUGGUCUUGAGCCGUCUUGAAAAGGACCAUGCCUAAAAGGACUGCCUGGAGGACAGAGAUGGCUCUGUGUAGGUUGAAACUUCAGGGCCUCCAUGACUACACAAAAUACACUAGGAAAAAAAAAGAG